rnacentral:rRNA from 1 species
UAUGGAGAGUUUGAUCCUGGCUCAGGACGAACGCUGGCGGCGUGCUUAACACAUGCAAGUCGAGCGAUGAAGCACCUUCGGGUGUGAAUUAGCGGCGAACGGGUGAGGAACACGUGAGAAAUCUGCCUUCAACACUGGGAUAACUCCGGGAAACCGGGGCUAAUACCGGAUAUGAAACCUGCGGGCAUCCGCGGGUUUGGAAAGUUUUUCGGUUGAAGAUGAUCUCGCGGCCUAUCAGCUUGUUGGUGAGGUAAUGGCUCACCAAGGCGACGACGGGUAGCCGGCCUGAGAGGGCGACCGGCCACACUGGGACUGAGACACGGCCCAGACUCCUACGGGAGGCAGCAGUGGGGAAUAUUGGGCAAUGGAGGAAACUCUGACCCAGCGACGCCGCGU